UGGCUCAGAACGAACGCUGGCGGCAGGCUUAACACAUGCAAGUCGAGCGCCCCGCAAGGGGAGCGGCAGACGGGUGAGUAACGCGUGGGAAUCUACCCUUGACUACGGAAUAACGCAGGGAAACUUGUGCUAAUACCGUAUGUGUCCUUCGGGAGAAAGAUUUAUCGGUCAAGGAUGAGCCCGCGUUGGAUUAGCUAGUUGGUGGGGUAAAGGCCUACCAAGGCGACGAUCCAUAGCUGGUCUGAGAGGAUGAUCAGCCACAUUGGGACUGAGACACGGCCCAAACUCCUACGGGAGGCAGCWGUGGGGAAUAUUGGACAAUGGGCGCAAGCCUGAUCCAGCCAUGCCGCGUGAGUGAUGAAGGCCCUAGGGUUGUAAAGCUCUUUCACCGGAGAAGAUA
rnacentral:rRNA from 1 species